UACGUAGGGUGCGAGCGUUUGUCCGGAAUUAUUGGGCGUAAAGGGCUCGUAGGCGGUUUGUCGCGUCGGGAGUGAAAACGCCGUGCUUAACACGGCGCUUGCUUUCGAUACGGGCAGACUAGAGGUAUGCAGGGGAGAACGGAAUUCCUGGUGUAGCGGUGAAAUGCGCAGAUAUCAGGAGGAACACCGGUGGCGAAGGCGGUUCUCUGGGCAUUACCUGACGCUGAGAAGCGAAAGCAUGGGGAGCGAACAGG
rnacentral:rRNA from 1 species